GGGGAUAGAGCUUCAUUGGUAGAGUGUUUGCCUCACAUGCACAAGGCCCUGGGUUCAAGCCCCAGCACCACCA
rnacentral:tRNA from 1 species